GAUCAUGGCUCAGGAUGAACGCUAGCUACAGGCUUAACACAUGCAAGUCGAGGGGCAGCAUGUCACGGGUGAGUAACGCGUAUCCGACCUGCCGCACACUCCGGGAUAGCCUUGCGAAAGCAAGUUUAAUACCGGAUGCCGUAAGGACGCCGCAUGGUGUUUUUACGAAAGGGGUUUACCGGUGUGCGAUGGGGAUGCGUCCCAUUAGCUUGUUGGCGGGGUAACGGCCCACCAAGGCGACGAUGGGUAGGGGUU
rnacentral:rRNA from 1 species